CCCUUAGAUGUUCUGGGCCGCACGCGUGUUACACUGAUGCGUUCAUCAAGCACCACACCUUGGCUCGAGAGGCCUGGGUAAUCUUGAAAUCGCAUCGUGCUGGGGAUAGAUUAUUGUAAUUUUUAAUCUUCAACGAGGAAUUUCUAGUAGGCGUUUGUCAUCAACAAGCACCGAUUACGUCCCUGUCCUUUGUACACACCGCCCGUCGCUACUACCGAUUGGAUCAUUUGGUGAGGCCCGCGGACUGUUGUGCUUUCUUCCUCGCGUUGAUUGCACUUCUUGGGAAGCGGUACGAACCUGAUGAUCUAGAGGAAGUAAAAGUCGUAACA
rnacentral:rRNA from 1 species